rnacentral:sRNA from 1 species
ACCCUCAAUUUAUUCCGCAUUAAAAUUUGUUUCUCUCACGUUCAGCUAUAAUGCCCCCACCAACCCUUCAGUGCAUUAGAUUUCUGUGCAAAUGGAUCUAAUGUAUUCAUGUAGUCGUCAAGCAAAAGGGAAGCAGUCCUGACUGAUAAUAUGUAAAAAACUUAACCAGUUACAGUUGUCCUUCUUUACGCAUACAUGUACAACGGUUGUGGAACAAUUUAUAACAAAUCUUAUGCAUAACUUACUUUUCGUCUUGAAGAAAUAUGGCAAAUCUUUCGAUAUCUUCACACCCAUAAUCAAGCCAAGUAGGACAAAAGACGCAACAUUUGGAUUUCCAAUUAACUAAAAUUUGCACGGUGAUUAACGGUGCUUGCACGUCAUCUGUCACAGGGUUAGGGACAGCAACAAUGUCCUUGAACAAAAAUUGUGUUGAUUACCUAUAUUUUAAUUGUUUACUCAGAAAACUUAAGACGUUUUAUGUAUUAUGACAUGCUUCUGAAAAAUAUGACACAAGAUAUAGAAUACUUUUUGGUGUUCUUCGUCGCAAGCCAUCGAACGGUCUACACAGAAUGUUCCAAGAUUUACCAGUGUUUUAUGACUUAGCAAAACAGCUUUACUGGAACCUGUAGAUCCCUAAAAACAAAAAGAGACAUUCCAAUCAUUUAAAGAAUAAGACAACAAUUUCACCACCUGUAGCAUUGCAUUAAUCUGUUACAAACAACGACCGUAUUAGUGGAGGGAAAAAAUGAUUCAUUUUCUGGUGAACUAAAUCGAUCCUUUCUUACCGUUGUGCGAAGGAUUAUUGCUGGAUCUUCAGGAGAAACCAAUCGUACUGCACUGUCGUAUUGAUCAUCAGUAAUUGAACUGUCAUCCGAAAGAUAUUCCUGACUUAUCAUGAAAUAUAAUAUAAUAUGUAAACCUAAUGAAAAUUGUUAUUUAUUUUGUUAAUUAAAGCAACGCAUUUUGU